rnacentral:rRNA from 1 species
CCCUGCAGCUCUCACCUGGUGUCACACUGACGCUAAGCAGGAUUGAUCCUGGUCAGUACCUGGAUGGGAGACCUCCUGGGGAAAAAUAAGGUUGCUGCUGGAA